AUUGAACGCUGUCGGCAGGCCUAACACAUGCAAGUCGAGCGGAGCGGCGGACGGGUGAGUAAUGCCUAGGAAUCUGCCUGGUAGUGGGUGAUAACGUCCGGAAACUGUCGCUAAUACCGCAUACUAUCAGAUGAUCCUAGGUCGGAUUAGCUAGUUGGUGGGGUAAAGGCCUACCAAGGCGACGAUCCGUAACUGGGCUGAGAGGAUGAUCAGUCACACUGGAAAUGAAACACGGUCCAGACUCCUACGGGAGGCAGCAGUGGGGAAUAUUGGACAAUGGGCGAAAGCAUGAUACAGCCAUGCCGAGUGGGGGAAGAAGGUCUUCGGAUUGUAAAGCACUUUAAGUUGGGAGGCGUUACCAAAAGAAUAAGCACCGGCUAACUUCGUGCCAGCAGCCGCGGUAAUAC
rnacentral:rRNA from 1 species